UACGUAGGGGGCGAGCGUUGUCCGGAUUUAUUGGGCGUAAAGAGCGUGUAGGCGGCUUGGUAGGUCUCGCGCAAAACCUGAGGCUCAACCUCAGUUCGCGUGGGAAACCACCUAGCUAGAGUCCGGAAGAGGAGAACGGAAUUCCCAUGUAGCGGUGAAAUGCGCAGAUAUUGGGAAGAACACCAGUGGCGAAGGCGGUUCUCUGGGACGGUACUGACGCUGAGAC
rnacentral:rRNA from 1 species